rnacentral:rRNA from 1 species
CCUACGGGGGGCAGCAGUAGGGAAUCUUCCACAAUGGACGAAAGUCUGAUGGAGCAACGCCGCGUGAGUGAAGAAGGGUUUCGGCUCGUAAAGCUCUGUUGGUAGUGAAGAAAGAUAGAGGUAGUAACUGGCCUUUAUUUGACGGUAAUUACUUAGAAAGUCACGGCUAACUACGUGCCAGCAGCCGCGGUAAUACGUAGGUGGCAAGCGUUGUCCGGAUUUAUUGGGCGUAAAGCGAGUGUAGGCGGGUUCAUA